AACGAACGCUGGCGGCAGGCCUAACACAUGCAAGUCGAGCGAGGACUUCGGUCCUAGCGGCGGACGGGUGAGUAACGCGUGGGAACGUGCCCUUUGCUUCGGAAUAGCCCUGGGAAACUGGGAGUAAUACCGGAUGAGCCCUUUGGGGGAAAGAUUUAUCGGCGAAGGAUCGGCCCGCGUUGGAUCAGGUAGUUGGUGGGGUAAUGGCCUACCAAGCCGACGAUCCAUAGCUGGUUUGAGAGGAUGAUCAGCUACACUGGGACUGAGACACGGCCCAGACUCCUACGGGAGGCAGCAGUGGGGAAUCUUAGACAAUGGGGGAAACCCUGAUCUAGCCAUGCCGCGUGAGCGAUGAAGGCCUUAGGGUUGUAAAGCUCUUUCAGCUGGGAAGAUAAUGACGGUACCAGCAGAAGAAGCCCCGGCUAACUCCGU
rnacentral:rRNA from 1 species